GAUGAACGCUGGCGGCGUGCCUAAUACAUGCAAGUCGAGCGAACGGACGAGAAGCUUGCUUCUCUGAUGUUAGCGGCGGACGGGUGAGUAACACGUGGAUAACCUACCUAUAAGACUGGGAUAACUUCGGGAAACCGGAGCUAAUACCGGAUAAUAUUUUGAACCGCAUGGUUCAAAAGUGAAAGACGGUCUUGCUGUCACUUCUAGAUGGAUCCGCGCUGCAUUAGCUAGUUGGUAAGGUAACGGCUUACCAAGGCAACGAUGCAUAGCCGACCUGAGAGGGUGAUCGGCCACACUGGAACUUAGACACGGUCCAUACUCCUACGGUAGGCAGCAGUAGGGAAUCUUCCGCAAUGGGCGAAAGCCUGACGGAGCAACGCCGCGUGAGUGAUGAAGGUCUUCGGAUCGUAAAACUCUGUUAUUAGGGAAGAACAUAUGUGUAAGUAACUGUGCACAUCUUGACGGUACCUAAUCAGAAAGCCACGGCUAACUACGUG
rnacentral:rRNA from 1 species